GGGGAUGUACCGGUUUCGACAGAUAAGAGUAAUCUUGUGCUGCAGGUAGGUGUGAAGGUGCCUUAAACUGACAAAAAAAAUAACUGCAAAACGUAGAGAAGACGAACAGUCUGAAAACGAACAGUUAGCACUCGCUGCUUAAGCAGUGCCGGUUUUUAUGGUGUGCUGUUCCUAACGCCAUAACAAACUGUCACAAACAGGGACUUGCACUGUAUUAUGUCCAGGUUUUACAGUGGACUUUUUCUGGAAUACGGAGACGACGCUUUUGAAGCUGCUACCGUCUCCCGACAACUACCUCGCUUCAAUAAACCUGUAGAGGUGCCUGGUUAGCUUAACUGGACGGGGGUUCAAUUCCCCCCAUCUCCA
rnacentral:tmRNA from 1 species